rnacentral:rRNA from 1 species
UACGUAGGUGGCGAGCGUUGUCCGGAAUUACUGGGUGUAAAGCGCGUGUAGGCGGCAGGCCAAGUCGGUGGUGAAAGCGCCCGGCUCAACUGGGCGAGGUCCAUGGAAACUGGUCAGCUGGAGGACGGUAGAGGCGAGUGGAAUUCCCGGUGUAGUGGUGAAAUGCGUAGAGAUCGGGAGGAACACCUGUGGCGAAGGCGGCAUCCUGGACCGGUAUUGACGCUGAGGCGCGAAAGCCAGGGGAGCAAACGGG